AGCCUUAUGGUGUUUACAUGCCGGAUUGCAAAUCCGGAGUUGCAGGGGUAACUCUGCUUGGGCUU
rnacentral:tRNA from 1 species